GUAGGAGCUGGGGAUAAGGAGCGUUCUUUUGUGGGGGGGAGGGGGGGGGCGAUUGCCUGCUCCAGGGGGGAAACGCAGGGCCCUAGAGCCAGCCUGAUCCCGAUGCGUGGGCCUCACACACAGACCCAGCCCUCGCCUGCACUUAAAACAUUAGCUCGGCCUAGUGUCGACCCAAUCCCUGCUGUGGCUGCAGCGAAAUUGAGGGGACGAUUCUCCCCUGCCCCAGCUAGUGCCUCUCAGGGCUAUGGGUUACCCACAGCAGUGGCUCUCAAACGCUUGUACGGUGACCCCUUUCACGUAGCAAGCCCCUGAGUGCGACCCCCUCCCCCUUAUUCGUUAAAAACUCUUUUAAAUCUAUUUAACACCAUUAUAAAUGCUGGAGGCAAAGCGGGGUUUGGGGUGGAGGCCGACAGCUCGUGACUCCCCCACGUAAUAACGUUGUGACCCCCCGGAGGUGUCCCGACCACCAGUUUGAGAACUACUGACCUACAGGGAUGGGAAAACCCUUUCUGGUGCUGUAGGAAAGGAUGCUUGCCAGGGCUGUGCCACUGGAGCGGCUGUAGUGCAGCUACACCUGGACAUGACGAAAAGCCCUCAUCUACACCCCGUUUUGGUGUAGUAUAGACACUUACUAGAGCCACAGAAAGGGGUUCUUUUGUUGCUGUAGUAAAUCCACCUCUCUGAAGGCUGGUCUGCGCUAGCGCUGUACCGUGGAACCUCAGAGUUAUGGACGCCUCAGGAAUGGAGGUUGUCCAUAACUCUGAACAAGAGGUUAUGGAUGUCGGCCAACGGGGAGGAGAACUGACUCCGGGUCGGGGUGAGGGCAAAAUAGCUUCAUACAUAACUUCCUGGUGUAGCAUGGGUUUAAACUUUCUGAAAUACAUUUUAGGUCAAAACUUCAUGUUUAAGCUCUGGCCGAGGGGAAUUUUUAAUAAAGUUUUGGAUAAAAUCCGUGCAGAUUUUCAAGUUCCGUAAGGAUGGAAAAACAUUCUCUCUUCUCACAAAGUGAAUGCCAUAUGCUCCUCUGCCACGUACAUAGAUUCAUAGAUAGAUAGAUACUAAGGUCAGAAGGGACCAUUCUGAUCAUCUAGUCUGACCUCCUGCAAAACGCAGGCCACAGAAUCUCACCCCACACUUGCUGCAGCAAAUUAAUUUUUCAGUGCCUCCAGAACACGUAAACUGCACAAAAUGCCAAAGAAAACAAAACAGUGACUAAAUACAGUUACUGGAGAGUUGUAGCAAAAUGUUGGAAAACUAGCACUGCGCGAAUAAUACAAGGAUCUUGGUCAUUGGGGAAAGAAACGAAUCCAGAGUCAUUGGAUCCUAGAGGAUAUUUCAACACUAGAACUCCCUAAGGUUAAUUUUGUUGGAAUCCUGAAGGAAUACUGAUCUGAGUGCUUUCAGGCCAAGGACAGAUUAAUCUAUGCAGCAAAGCAUGAGGGGAAGAGGACAUUUUUACUUACUAUUCAGCUGAAGAACCACAUGUGUUAGAUCAGAGAUAAUAGCAGACUCAAAUCUCUGUGCUCUAGCCCAUUGUUCCCCAAACUUUUGAGGGUCAUGCCCCUCCUUACCACUGACGGUGCCCCCCUACUCCUCCCAGAGCUGGGAUUGGAAGCAGAGUUGUGGCUCGGGGUGGGGCUGGGGAGAUGGACAGAAGUAAGGGGGCUGAGGUUUGGGCUGCAGCUGGGGGUAGGUCUGGGACCAGGAGCAGGGCUUGGGUCGGAGCCGUGGCCAGGGUCUGAGGCUGGGGAUGGGAGCGAAGCCGGGCCGCAGUGCGGGCCGGCAUUCAGGCCUGCGGCCAUGUGCUUCUCUGCUCCAGGCCCCACCCCCAGCCUCUGCCCCAGGCUGGGAAUGGGGCCGAGGCUGGGGGCAGGGGCAGGGCAGGAAGGGGAACUCAAAUGAGGCCAGGCAUGGGGCUGGGAGCUGGGGACGCGGCUGUGGAUCAGAGUUGGGGUCAGAGGAGAGGGGCUGAGGGGUGCACCCUAUGUGGAUAGGCCCAGGCCCCCACGUGCCCUUCCAAAGGUUCCUCCAUGUUCCCAUAGGGGGAUACACCCCACAGUUUGGGGACCGCUGCUCUAGCCACUAGAGGGGGGACAAAGAGCAACAGUUAAUGUGGGUUAUAUGCAGUGAUGAGCUGCCAAAAGCUGAAGAACCGGUUCCUUCACUCGCUCUGGGUCUUCCGCGGCAGGUCCUUCAGUCGCUCCGGGUCUUUGGCGGCAUUGAAGGACCCUCCGCCGAAAUGCCUGCUGAAAACCCAGAGCAAGUGAAGGACCCGCAGCCAAAAUGCCGCCAAAGACCCGGAGUGAGUGAAGGGCCCGCUGCCGAAGUGCUGCCGAAGACCUGGAGCGUCACUGGACUAACACGGCUGCUACUCUGAAACCAAAAAUUAAAAAGGGAUUCUCAGGGGAGCCUCCCCAGCCAAGAGCUCAGGCGGGCCAGACAGGAUGGAGUUUGCCGAUCCCUUUAACAACCGGUUCUAAACCGGCUUCAAAAUUUAACAACCGGUUCACGCAAACCAGUGUGAACCGGCUCCAGCUCACCACUGGUUAUAUGGAGAUAAAAAUCUCAGUUUCACAAGAGGGACACUUCGUACCUCUUCAACCAUGUUGACAUUACAGUCAUGUACCAUAGUGGGAAAGAUGAAAGCUGGCCUGGAGCAAGACUGGUAAUGGCAAGACUGGAUCCAAAAAGCUACAAACAUAUGGAUAAAAACAAUUUAAAUUGUGGAGGUCCCCCUAUGGAGAUUCCUGGUGAAUUCACGAACAAACUGGAAUUGAUUUGAGGAAGAUGCUCAAGAGGAAUUUGGUUGGAAGUUGGUUCAUGGAGAUGUAUUUAGAUCUCCAAGGAAGGGAAUGCUGUUAUCCGUCUUCUUGGGUCAAGGAACGCAAAUUUUCAUUAUGACAUUUAUUAUUCUAUCUUGCCUUAGCUUUCUUUCUCCUGCCAACCAAGGAGCUUUGAUGACCUGUGCAGUUGUACUGUGGGUCUUGCUGGGAACUCCUGCUGAUUAUGUAUCUGCUAGAAUGUAUAAGAUGUAUGAUCAAACUGGAACUCGUUGCCAGAGGAAGCUGUUGAGGCCAUGAAGAGGGAGCUGUUUAAAACAUUUUCAGUGCUGCUGUGUGUGAAAGACCAAAUGAUGUUGUUAAUACACAUCUUUUUAAAGCUGGGAUUUGCAGCAUUGUCAUCUGAGCUCUUUUUCUCUAGAAAUUUAACUCCACUUACUAUGCUUUUUUCUUUUCUUUGUUCAUAUGGCAUACUAGUGUCUCUGUGAUCAGAGAUAUCCUGCCCCCUGUACCACGGGGACCCAAUCCCAUACUUAUAUAGGCCAAACGCCUAAUAGGGAGAAAUUGUCUUUAGUAAAUUGUACUCCAUUUGCUUAUUUUGUUAGCCUUGAAUUAGUAAGAAGAAAUUGUUUUGGUUUUAUUUUUUGCUUUAUAUGUUACUGAGUGUUUUUAGAAGGACAGAAGUGUUAUGGCUGCAAUUCUUGCUUUUGAAAUUAUUUACUGUUUUGUGUGUGAGUGAAGAAUGUAUGGCAUGCUAACAGAGACCAGUGCUGAUGGGCCAGAUGGUCAGGAGGGGAGUGGAGAAAUCAAGAGGAAUCCCUCAGGUGGCAGAUUGACGACCCUAAAGCAAAGGCAUACGCCCCAAGGACAAGAUAAAGAGUGGAGCCAGAGGAACAAGAUAAGAAACAACUGCGGAUACUCCCAGUAACAACUUGAUUGGGAGCAACCUUGACUAACAGCUCUGGUGUGCCAAAGACUUGUAUGGGAACUUAUUACUAUAAAAGAAGGGCAUAUUGCCAUGGGACUUUGGGUUCAUUCUGCAUCAAUAUCGGAGCUUCGAACACGUUCAACAGAGACCCAGCUCCCUUCCCUUGUGUGCAGUUUCAGCUAGCCACUGGAACUGACUGAGGAACACUAAGGACUGGUAAUUAUAAAAUCCAGCUGCAGAACCUUUUGGGGGGUGUAUGUGUGUGUGUGUGUGUGUGUGUGUGUGUGAGAAUGGAAGCAUAUGCUGAUUUUAAUGCUUAAAUCAUACUCUUAAUAAACGUGGCAUAUUGCCUUAUCCCCUUUAAAAAGAUUCUCUUUGCUUCUUAUAAGCAUAACGGUUAUUACAUAGGCAAAAUACCCUUUGAAGCUGGCAGGUGUUUCAUAUGAGAAAGGACUGACUUCACUAUUAAACCAAGGGAUGGAAAUCAGGAAGCCAGGGGAUGCUGCACUGUACGGAAGCUCUGGAGACAGAGAUGGGAGGUCCCAUAGCUUCCAAAUCUUCACUUUUUAGGCUGGCUAUUGACUCCUGGGAAUGGUGUUGCACACACUGUGCUCUCCUUAGGGGCUGGUGAAGCCUCUCUUCUGCAUUCUGCAGCCAGCCAAAGCUCCAUUGACAAUCAGGCCAAAUCUGCCUUUCCCCACUUUGUCAGGCAGUUGUGGCAACUUUUGCUGUGUACCAGGAAGCAAGUUAGAAAAGCAGAGCCUAGUUUAUCCAAACCCCUCUUAUGUGAAACUCCUGUUCGAAACUGGGUUAUGAUGCCUGACGUAUUUUGUCUGUACCCCAUUUAUCUGGAUAAAUUCUGUGACCCCUGUUAUGCUCAGGCAAAUAGGGUCUAGUGUAUACCAGAAACAGGUAAGGGAGGUUCAGAUGUACUCUGCAAUGGGGUUGAAGGGGUUCGAUGUUGGUUCAGCCUCUUACAGAGAGGACUAGUGCAGAGACACUUCUCCGAUUUCAUGGAAUAUUUUGGA